UGCGUCCAGCGCUUUAGAAACGGUCGCCGGGAGGAGCGCGCCCGUCGCACGCAUGCGCACACGCCUUGGGCCGCUGCGGCGAGGUGGGCGGCCGCCGCCGCAGCCGCAGCUCACGCGCACGGGUGACGUGUGGGCCGCCUUCGAGUUGAGGUCGGUUCGCGCGGAAGUCGCUGCUGAAUCUUCGGAGGGCUGGUGCCGGGCCAGGAGCCCUGGAGGGCAUGGUGGGGCCCCCGUCGCGGUGAGCCUCGCGGUGUCCCACCUGCCCCCGCCGCCCCCGCGGGGAGGAGGUGGGGCCUUUGUGACGUCUUCGCGUCGGGGGCUGCGGGGAGAGGAGCCCGCCUGCGGGGCGCCGGGUCCCCCCAGGGCUCCGGAGGUGAGAGCCCUUCACUAGCCGUGGCAAGCUGUCGGAAAGGAGCGCUUUUUAGAGCUGUGUGUGUUUUUUUUAAUGUCUAUUUUUAGUUGUUGAUGGACUUUUAUUGGCUUACUUAUAUGCGGUGCUGAAGCCAGAUUUAAAGUUAGGUAGUCAGUGUAGUUAGGUAAAUCGGGCCUAAUAUGGAGUAAGAUCUGAAAUGGAGGCCACAUUGAAUAAAUUCCGGGAAAGGCAGGACAGCUCAUGGAAUGUCAAUAUAGUCCCUGAGAAAAGCCCUAGGCCCAAAGUCCAUACCGAAGAAAUGUUAAGGAACAGCCCCAGCAGAUUUGAAGUUAGCCCAUCCCAAAGAAAUGUUAAUGAAGUCCUUCCUGCCCAGAUUACUUCUUUGGCCCACCUGUGUCCCACCCCUCAGGCCUUCCAGCCUACAUUCCAUCACUGAAAGAACUAUAAAAAGGGGAAACAACCGCACUUCCACGGAUUCCACCUCUUGGGUCCCCUUCUUCUUCCGGAGAAGUCUUUUCUGCUGUCCUUUAAUAAACUUCUA
rnacentral:lncRNA from 1 species